rnacentral:rRNA from 1 species
GACGAACGCUGGCGGCGUGCUUAACACAUGCAAGUCGAGCGGUAAGGCCCUUUCGGGGGUACACGAGCGGCGAACGGGUGAGUAACACGUGGGUGACCUGCCUUUAGCUCUGGGAUAAGCCUGGGAAACUGGGUCUAAUACCGGAUAUGACUCCAUGAUGCAUGUUGUGGGGUGGAAAGCCUUGUGCGGCUGGAGAUGGGCCCGCGGCCUAUCAGCUUGUUGGUGGGGUGANGGCCUACCAAGGCGACGACGGGUAGCCGGCCUGAGAGGGCGACCGGCCACACUGGGACUGAGACACGGCCCAGACUCCUACGGGAGGCAGCAGUGGGGAAUCUUGCGCAAUGGGCGAAAGCCUGACGCAGCGACGCCGCGUGA